UACAGAGGUGGCAAGCGUUGUUCGGAAUUACUGGGCGUAAAGGGCGAGUAGGCGGCUUUUUAAGUCAGACGUGAAAUCCCCCGGCUUAACCUGGGAACUGCGUCUGAUACUGGAAGGCUUGAGUAUGGGAGAGGAAUGUGGAAUUCCAGGUGUAGCGGUGAAAUGCGUAGAUAUCGGGAGGAACACCAGUGGCGAAGGCGACUACCUGGCCUGUUCUUGACGCUGAGGCGCGAAAGCUAGGGGAGCAAACGGG
rnacentral:rRNA from 1 species